rnacentral:rRNA from 1 species
AUGAACGCUGGCGGCGUGCCUAAUACAUGCAAGUCGAGCGAACGGACGAGAAGCUUGCUUCUCUGAUGUUAGCGGCGGACGGGUGAGUAACACGUGGAUAACCUACCUAUAAGACUGGGAUAACUUCGGGAAACCGGAGCUAAUACCGGAUAAUAUUUUGAACCGCAUGGUUCAAAAGUGAAAGACGGUCUUGCUGUCACUUAUAGAUGGAUCCGCGCUGCAUUAGCUAGUUGGUAAGGUAGCGGCUUACCAAGGCAACGAUGCAUAGCCGACCUGAGAGGGGUGAGGGCCAACCUGAAACUGAAAAAGGGCCCAACCCCCCAGGGGGGGACGAGGAGGGAAACUUCCCGAAAGGGGGAAAAGCCUAAGGGGCAAACGCCGGGGGGGGAGUGAAGUGUUUCGAAUGGUAAAACUUUUUUUUAGGGAAAAAAAAAUUUGGAAGGAACUGUGCACCUUUUUAAGGGUACUAAAUCAAAAAGCCCCGGCAAACAACGG